UUUCCCACGGGCAGGUGCGUGAGGAGAGAGGACAGAAAACGAAGCAGAAAUGCCGUUCGGGGUGACGAAAUGAAAAGUUAAUAUUUCCUAACAUCAGCCUUGACUAUGAUAAGUUUGCCUGCAGUUCCUCUGAAGAAGACGUCUCCGAUGACAACAAUCCAUUUGUUCUCAAGAAACGGAAGGUUAAGAAAUUUCCCAAGGACCUGAAG